rnacentral:tRNA from 1 species
CCCCUGGUAGCUCAGUUGGUAGAGCGCCUGUUUGAAGAGCAGGAAGUCGUCAGUUCGAUACUGAUCUGGGGGG